UUGUGGGACCUAGUCAAUUAAGGGCAAAUUCUAGGCACCUGAAUCCCUCAGAACAGUAGCUGUGGGGACGGCGGGUUCGUUUGGAAGGGUUUUCACAGAGGACAGAGCUUUUUUAAGGGUCACGGGAGAAGUGGAUAUUUGAGUACAGGUUUAUCUGACUUCGAGUCAAAAUUGGCCCCUCCAUCUCCACUUCACAUUUUGAGAAGUGUUCCUUGGAUUGCCUUCCUCAGUGUCUCCAAGUACAAACAUUAGCUGUGUUUCCUACAGCAUGGAGGUGUCGCCAUGAGAUGCUGCGAAAGAAUCACAUAUUUAUGUAUCAUUUGAAUGAAAAAGAGACUCCUCAAGUAAUAUCUGAUCAGAUAAACUUGAAACAUAUUACCCAUGUAAUAAUUGCUCCAC